rnacentral:tRNA from 4 species
GCGGGCGUGAUGAAAUUGGCAGACAUGCCGGCUUUAGGUGCCGGUGCUCUUAGAGCGUGUGGGUUCGAGUCCCUCCGCCCGCA